CUGAAUAACUACGCAAAUCGCUUAGGUUUUAAACCGGCGAUGUGUCCUUCAAGGGUCUGCCUUAUCAACUUUCGAUGGUCGUUUCUGUCACUACCAUGGACGCGACGGGGAACGGAAAAUUAGGAUUCGACUCCGGAGAGUCAGCCUGAGAAACGGAUACUCCUUCUAAGGAAGGCGGCAGGCGCGCAAAUUACCCACUCUCGGAAAGAAGAGGUAGUGACGAAAAAUAACGAGAUAACCCGCUCUAGCGAGUUAUCAUCGGAAUGAGUACAAUCUAAAUCCUUUAACGAGGACCUAGCGGAGGGCAAGUCUGGUGCCAGCAGCCGCGGUAAUUCCAGCUCCGCCAGUGUAUAUCUAUGCUGCUGCGGUUAAAAAG
rnacentral:rRNA from 1 species